UAUACUCUUGGGCUUCUCAAAUAAAAAUUUGAGUCCAAAUGUUUUUAUAAAAAAUGGCUUUGGGCCAUGACAAUCAAAAGGUCCAACAAAUAGAUAAUUAUACAAAUUUGGGGCUUUGCAACUAAAUGAGCCCAAACUAAUUUAAAUAAAUUAUGUUGAGCCCAAUACAUUUUCCAAAAUAUGGGAGUAAGCCCAAAGAUCUUCUUUUUCUUCUUCUCCUCUUCAUGAUCGACGGUUUCUUCAAGUGGAGACUCCUCAUCUUCAACUUCUCCACUCUCCAUCUUCCACCAUUAAUCCUACAAACCAAAGGUCACCCAUUACUUCUUCAUGUAACCUCUUCCCUAACUCCUCACAAUACACACUUUACAAUGAGCAAAUUGAGAGAGAGGGAGGGAGCCGAGAGGAGAAGAAGUAGAAGGAAUUGUUGCUUCCAUUUUGUUUCAACCACAACCAAGUUCAAAUUCUUGAGGUGGUUCGCACGCACGCUAGAAGUCGGAACGAGCAACUAUUUACGGAAAUUCUAAGCUUUUGAGGUUGAGCGGUGACGAGCGCGG